rnacentral:rRNA from 1 species
GCCCGCUCAAGAACUCAAAGGAAUUGACGGGGCCCGCACAAGCAGCGGAGCGUGUGGUUUAAUUCGAUGCUACACGAAGAACCUUACCCGGGUUUGACAUGCAAGUGGUAGUGAUCCGAAAGGUGAACGACCCGCAAGGGAGCUUGCACAGGUGUUGCAUGGCUGUCGUCAGCCCGUGUCGUGAGAUGUUCGGUUAAGUCCGCUAACGAGCGCAACCCUCGCUGUAUGUUACAUGUGUCAUACAGGACCGCCGGUAUCAAGCCGGAGGAAGGUGGGGAUGACGUCAAGUCCGCAUGGCCUUUAUGUCCGGGGCUACACACACGCUAUAAUGGUCGGUACAAUGGGUUGCUAAGCCGCGAGGUGGAGCCAAUCCCCCAAAGCCGGCCUCAGUUCAGAUUGCAGGCUGCAACUCGCCUGCAUGAAGCUGGAGUUGCUAGUAAACGCGCGUCAGCUAUAGUGCGUUGAAUACGUUCUCGGGCCUU